GGAGUAGCUCAGCUUGGUAGAGCACUUGGUUUGGGACCAAGGGGUCGCAGGUUCGAAUCCUGUCUUCC
rnacentral:tRNA from 1 species